CUCAUACGUCAUACGGCAUCUACAUACAAGAAGAUAGUGUCAUGUGACUAUGUGCUUCUUCCGGUGAUCGCAUUUGAGGAAGUCGCCUUGAGACAACUGUGCAGAAUAUUUGCUGCUCCGCAUAAUGUCGUUAUCAAGCGCCACAAAAUAGACAAAAGUGAUCGCAGUGGAGAGAUUCGCCCAUUACUGAUCUGCUUUAAGUCUUAAUCAUGUCGUCCUCAAGCACCAAAACAGAGACACAAGUGGGUUUCUUCAAGCAUUUCCCUCACUAUAACCCGUUAUCAUGUCUAUGCAACAUCUCCAGAAACUGCACCACUUAUUGUGUGGAAUAACGGGACACGGGACAGUACGCUGCAGUGAGUGAGUACAGAUGCGGGACAUAAAGUGCGUGGUUGUUGGGGAUGGAAUUGUGGGAAAAACAUGUCUUCUCAUCAGCUACAUCAACAAUGUCUUUCCAGAGGCGUUUAUCCCCACUGUUUUUGAAAAUCAUUCUGUCAGUGUGACUGCUGAUGGGAAGCCAGUAAAACUGGGACUGUGGGACACAGCAGGGGUGGAGGAUUAUGACAGGCUUCGACCAGUUUCCUACGU